GCUGCAACUGUUUAUUAAAAACACAGCACUGUGCAAAAUCGUAAGAUGACGUAUACGGUGUGACGCCUGCCCGGUGCCGGAAGGUUAAUUGAUGGGGUUAGACUUCGGUCGAAGCUCUUGAUCGAAGCCCCGGUAAACGGCGGCCGUAACUAUAACGGUCCUAAGGUAGCGAAAUUCCUUGUCGGGUAAGUUCCGACCUGCACGAAUGGCGUAAUGAUGGCCACGCUGUCUCCACCCGAGACUCAGUGAAAUUGAAAUCGCUGUGAAGAUGCAGUGUACCCGCGGCUAGACGGAAAGACCCCGUGAACCUUUACUACAGCUUGGCACUGAACAUUGACCCUACAUGUGUAGGAUAGGUGGGAGGCUUUGAAGCACGUACGCCAGUAUGUGUGGAGCCGUCCUUGAAAUACCACCCUUGUAGUGUUGAUGUUCUAACGUCGACCCCUUAUCGGGGUUGCGGACAGUGCCUGGUGGGUAGUUUGACUGGGGCGGUCUCCUCCCAAAGAGUAACGGAGGAGCACGAAGGUGGGCUAAUCACGGUUGGACAUCGUGAGGUUAGUGCAAUGGCAUAAGCCCGCUUGACUGCGAGAAUGACAAUUCGAGCAGGUGCGAAAGCAGGUCAUAGUGAUCCGGUGGUUCUGAAUGGAAGGGCCAUCGCUCAACGGAUAAAAGGUACUCCGGGGAUAACAGGCUGAUACCGCCCAAGAGUUCAUAUCGACGGCGGUGUUUGGCACCUCGAUGUCGGCUCAUCACAUCCUGGGGCUGAAGUCGGUCCCAAGGGUAUGGCUGUUCGCCAUUUAAAGUGGUACGCGAGCUGGGUUUAGAACGUCGUGAGACAGUUCGGUCCCUAUCUGCCGUGGGCGUUGGAAGAUUGAAGGGGGCUGCUCCUAGUACGAGAGGACCGGAGUGGACGAACCUCUGGUGUUCGGGUUGUGUCGCCAGACGCAUUGCCCGGUAGCUAAGUUCGGAAUCGAUAACCGCUGAAAGCAUCUAAGCGGGAAGCGAGCCCUGAGAUGAGUCUUCCCUGAUACUUUAAGUAUCCUAAAGGGUUGUCGGAGACUACGACGUUGAUAGGUCAGGUGUGUAAGUGCUGUGAGGCAUUGAGCUAACUGAUACUAAUUGCCCGUGAGGCUUAACCAUACAACACCCAAGGGGUUU
rnacentral:rRNA from 1 species